GCAAAAGCAAACACUGGGCCUAGGCCGCGGGGGACCGGGCGUUGGAGGAAACAGCUCAAUGCCCGGCGGGCCACGCCACUAACAGCCCUGACUCCCGGGCGCUGCAUUCGCUCCACGCCUCUGGUUCUUUGCCCGACGGCGCUGUGGGCCCCGAGGGCGACUCGCCGCCCUUCCACAUUGCGCGCGGGUGGCUCCUUGAGUACCGGCGGCGCACCACAAUCCCUACUCUCAAGAUAUGGGCUCCAGUCCCGGCUCCUUGGAGUCCUCCCUGGAACCUCGGAUAAGCCCCAACUUCUCCCAGCCCGUCACUUCCUUUGGUGUAGAGACGGGGUUUCACCAUAUUGGUUAAGCUGGUCUGAAGCUCCUGACCUCAAAUGAUCCGCCUCGGCCUCCCAAAGUGCUGGAAUUACAGGCUUGAGCCACCAUGCCCAGCCAACCCUAUAGCUUUGCUUGUUCAUCCUGGGAAGGAACUGUGCAAGUUGGCGCUUCGGGCUUGGUAUAAAAACGGCUCCUGAAUUCCUGCCCAGUUGUAAUUUCCUUGGGGAUUUUGAGAGGGGCUCUUCAACGUUGCCAGGCUAUCACGGCCCUUUUGUUUGCAAGAGAGCAUUCCUGGACAAAACAUCUUCCAGAUUGCGGGUGAAUUUAAACAUCGCAGCUUCUUCUUUCAAUCAUAAUUUUCUGCUUGAGCCAAAAGCUGGAGUGUCCUCUUGCACCUGGAUUCCCCUCUGCCGCGGUUGAAAUGGGAGCGUGUAACUCUUUAUAUGUGAGACGUUUAUGGGCCAGACACUGGCAUUCCAACCCCCUCACCCAGGGCACUUGCUAUAAAAUAUUGAAGGCGAGCAGAGGCUAUCCUUGGAGGGAAUGCUGGUGAUGCCAGGCUCAUAAAAACCAGCCUUUUAAAAAUGAGUCCCUAAUCAGGAAUUGCACGCCCUCUCCCUCUCCAGUGCGCUCUGGCCUGGCAAAGCCCACUUGGGAAAGUAGGUGCUACUGAAAAGAGUCACUAGCCUCUACCUGUGGGACUUCUGUCUCCAGGGUGCUUCCAAAAUCUUUCGGGACUCUGUGUUCAGGACUAGAACUCUUCAUCCACGGGGCUCCAGUGCAACCCCCUCCAACCCCCAUCAGGAUCUGAAGGCAAGGAGGACCAGCGUCCAGGACCCGGUUUCUGCGCCCCCAGGCUCUGUAGAAGUUCUGGGAAGAAGUUCUCAUGGAAGCUGAGGGGAGGGAGACGCACGUCGGCGAACUCUGGGCCUAGCCAAGUUUCUAUAUUUUGAAGGGAGAACCAUGUACCUGCCCUUGGCCUCACCUGAAGACAAACACAGGAGCAAAAUUAAGCAGCGGAGCAACUUUCUGGAAAGGAGCUUAGGGAGAGAAAGCUGGUGCGAAACCGAGUGCGCGCUAGGCGUGUGCACCCGGGGAACAAGGCGUGCCCAGGGGUGUUCGCAGUGGCGGUGGGAUGGAUGCCCGCGCCACCUAUGCGCAGUUAUUUAUAAACUCAUUGUGGGCAUCAGGGUACCCACGACGCCGUUCGUGUCGUUCGUUCCCUUCCUCCUGGAAGGGAAGAGCAAACAAAGCAGUCCUUGGCAACGCUCAACCUCUCUGUGUCAUACAUGUGGUUUUCAGUGUAAAUGAAUUUAGUAAACGCCAAGGCAACAACCCUGUUUACUUGUUUCCGUGUAGAAAGGUUAGCUAACGAACCCGAAGCCAUCCUUCGCGCUUCUCUUUGAUUCCGUCUCAGAUUUACGGGCUUCUCCUCGGCUACACGACUCCAGCCAUCGCCCCCGCUCCCUUGGCCCAGGCAAAGAGAGCCCUAGGCUCCGAUUCCCGCCGCAGCUCAGAGCAAAGCGAUUGCAGGAUUUAUCAACCCCCCUCCCAGGACCUCGGAUUUCAUCUCUUUCUUUUCCCCCUGCAUGUUCAGUUUGUUUUUUCAAGACCUAAGCAAUUUUUAAUGUACUCUAUACUUCCCGCUUAAUCCUCAUCGUUUAUUGUAUAAUUAUAGUUUCAAAGUGAUUAUGUAAUUAAAAUCAUGUUUCGUUGCAGCAGGACUUCAAAAGGGCGGCAGACCCCCGCUCUGGCAUUAUUUUCUAGUGAUGUAAUAAUUUCCCUGUGAUAUUUAAAAUAAACACAUUAGUCCAAGAAUUCUAAACAUGUCUCAAAGUAUAUAGUAGGCUUGAUUGGCACGAGGCUGGGUUGUAAAGAAAUGGUAAAACCUAUCACUAGUUUAAUAUAUUUCUAUGCUCCCAUGCAGGGUAAAUUAUAGGAUAAUGGGGCGCAGGCGAUGGUAAGCUCUGUUUAUAUAAUCCAUUUCUUCACACGAGUUCCCAUUGCUUUCCCUUCCCUUUGCUGUAUGUGGUGGUUCUCUGAUCCCCUGACCUCAGCCAUGUGUUUUCACUUUUUCUUCUGAUCUCAAUUCCAUGACCAGCGGGGAAUAAAAUACAAAUUGAAUAGUAACCAUUCACAGGCCGCUCUUUUCAAACUGUUGUUAAAACCUCUUUGUCUUGUCUAGCGGUUGAUAGAUAAAUGUGUUGUGUUUCGCCUGACUUUUUU
rnacentral:lncRNA from 1 species